ACAUGCAAGUCGAACGGUAACAGGUCUUCGGACGCUGACGAGUGGCGAACGGGUGAGUAAUACAUCGGAACGUGCCCAGUCGUGGGGGAUAACUACUCGAAAGAGUAGCUAAUACCGCAUACGAUCUGAGGAUGAAAGCGGGGGACCUUCGGGCCUCGCGCGAUUGGAGCGGCCGAUGGCAGAUUAGGUAGUUGGUGGGAUAAAAGCUUACCAAGCCGACGAUCUGUAGCUGGUCUGAGAGGACGACCAGCCACACUGGGACUGAGACACGGCCCAGACUCCUACGGGAGGCAGCAGUGGGGAAUUUUGGACAAUGGGCGAAAGCCUGAUCCAGCAAUGCCGCGUGCAGGAUGAAGGCCUUCGGGUUGUAAACUGCUUUUGUACGGAACGAAAAAGCUCCUUCUAAUACAGGGGGCCCAUGACGGUACCGUAAGAAUAAGCACCGGCUAACUACGUGCCAGCAGCCGCGGUAAUACGUAGGGUGCGAGCGUUAAUCGGAAUUACUGGGCGUAAAGCGUGCGCAGGCGGUUAUGUAAGACAGAUGUGAAAUCCCCGGGCUCAACCUGGGAACUGCAUUUGUGACUGCAUGGCUAGAGUACGGUAGAGGGGGAUGGAAUUCCGCGUGUAGCAGUGAAAUGCGUAGAUAUGCGGAGGAACACCGAUGGCGAAGGCAAUCCCCUGGACCUGUACUGACGCUCAUGCACGAAAGCGUGGGG
rnacentral:rRNA from 1 species